rnacentral:lncRNA from 1 species
CAUUGAGUUUGGAUGAUUUAGAGUUGAUAUGACUUUGUAAGAGCUUUGCAAAGUCAAGAUUUGUUUCAGAUGACUUGGAUUUUAUGAAAUAAAAUAGGAUUUACGUUUUGGAUGAUUUCAAGAGUUUUGUAAUAGAUCUAUAGAUGAAAAUUUGUGGAUUUAUGGUUAUAGUUGUAUUUAAUAUGUGUUGUUAAUUUGAGCUUGAUCUAAUAGUUGAAUUGAGAAAUAUUGAGGUUUAAGUCGGUCAAGGUAUAAGAAAGUAGAAUUUUAGAUCUAGUAGGGAUUUUUGAGAUUUCUUACAAUCUAUUGAUUGGGUUGGAGUGAAACUUAUGUGAGAGAAUAUUAAACUUGUUUUUCUAUGCGGUUGAGAAUUUUGAGAUCAAUCGAAUAGUGCAAAGGAGAGAUAUUGGCUCUGAAAGAUUGGCAUCAAGAUUGGAGAAGUAGGUCGGCCAAUAUCUGAGCACAUUUUUGAAGAUAUCGUGAAUUUGGUAACUCUGAUCCUUAUCAAUUUUUUUGUACUUGUUUUUAACUUAUUUUUUUAGAAGGGUAAAAAAUUUAAAUUAAGAUCAAUAAUUUAUUCAUUAGUUAUUAAGGUUUAAAUCUAUUGUAAGAAUUAUUAGGAUUUGGUUUAGGAUUUAGUUAGGAUUUCGUUUAGGAUUUGGUUAGGAUUUGGUUUGGGAUUUAGGGUUUGGAUUAGGAUUUGAUUUAAGAUUUAGGAUUUGGUUUAGAGUUUAGGGUUUGAAUUAGGGUUUGAUUUAGGAUUUAAGGUUUGGAUAGGAUUUAGUUUAGGGUUUAGGAUUUGAUUAGGGUCUGAUUUCAGAUUUAGGAUUUGGAUUAGCAUUUGGUUUAGAGUUUGGUUAGGAUUUGAUUUAGGAUUUAGAAUUUGAUUUAGGGUUUAGGAUUUGGAUUAGGAUUUGGUUAGGAUUUGAUUUAAGGUUUAGGAUUUUAUUUAGGAUUUGGUUAAGAUUUGGUUUACGAUUUGAUUAGGGUUUGAUUUAGGGUUUAGGAUUUUAUUAGGAUUUAAUAUUUUAUUAAUUUUGGCCUAAAUUUUGAAUGAAGUUCAAUAGGAUUUUAACUAGAAUUAAAUUAAGAUUGAAUUGAAAUGUAUUUGAAUGACAUUUGUGUCCUUUCUAAUGUUUCUUUAAAAAUUCAUAUUAUUUGUUUGAAAUUUCUUUGAGGUUUUUUUGAAUUUGAUUAAGCUUGCUUAGCAUUAUUAUAGUUUAAUUAGAGAAUUAUUAAUAUUCUAUUAAAAUUAGGAUUUUGUUAUUUUAAUUUCCAUUCUUCCUUCCAUAGCCAUGUGCCUGAAGCAUUCUCAAGCAAGAUUUCACGUAUUACGACAAUGUGUUGCAGCUCUACUUGGAAAUGAGGCUCUUUAUUGUUUGCCUUGAAUACAACCUUCACAAGCAAGUGUCAGAGCAUUGUGGCUUAUAUGACCAAGAUCUAAGC